UCUGUUUACUCCAGCGUGUUUCUAGCCUUCUGUCCUGCCUGCAGACCUGUUACCUCCUGAAGCUUUUGUUCCUGCCUUCCCCACUCUGGAUUGGAUGUGGAUUACGGACCUUGUUACUUCCCUUUGAAUGGAUUGGAGGAGUUAUCUGAACCUUUGGGAAGGCUCAACCCAAAUUAGAAAACCCAGCACUAUUUAACCAUUUGGUUAUACUAACACUGUUUCUGGUUCAGCAGUUCCAACAGCCCCUGGUGGAGUUCCCCAUUGCGGCUCUCUCUCUCUUUCUGAGAUCUCACAAUUGGAUUCCUUCUCCUCUGCUGUCAUCUGCUAAUUUUACAAUGGAGUCUGUGGUGACCAGGCGAGCUGUACAUGAAGAGGAGAGGACUGUGGACCCACCCCUGUGGUGUCUCAGCAAUCUGGGUCAGAGUAGCCAAGAUGCGAGUCACCAUCUUUGUACAGAAGUUCUUUUUCUCCCUAUUUGAGACGUAACAUCUUGGUGUUCCCCUGUUAAUUUUCUCUGGGAUUUGCAGUGUGGUGAUUAGCAGUUUCACAAAUUCUAAAUAGCCAAUUUCAUGGAAGAUAGGCACAUCGAGAGGAGUGUAUUGUGCCUAUGAUUAAAGUAUUGAUUCCUGCCAGGAAAGGGAGCUUGAUGCAAAAGAAUCAUAUAAUCAUUAUAUAAGUAAAAUGAUGG